AAGGAAUAAGCAUCGGCUAACCCUGUGCCAGCAGCCGCGGUAAUACAGAUGGGGCUAGUGUUAUUCGGAAUGAUUAGGCGUAAAGGGUACGUAGGCGGUUUGAACUGGUAAGUCGUCAAAAGCUUUUAAAAAAGAUUCACGACUUUGUUUAUUUUCUAAUUUUUUGAAUAACCUUACCAUCAAACUUGAGUUUUAUAGAAGAAAGCGGAAUUUUGAGUGGAGAGAUAGAAUUCGUAGAUAUUCAAAGGAACACCGAAAACGAAGGUAGCUUUCUAGGUAAAAACUGACGCUCAUGUACGAAAGCGUGGGGAGUGAAUGGGAUUAGAUACCCCAGUAAUCCACGCCGUCAACGAUGAGUGUUCACUCCAUGCAAAAAGAUUCUUCUUUGUUUGACUUUGAAAAAGAUGUCUAUGGACUUCAAAGAAGAUCUCUCUCUUAAAUACUCCUUCUAAGAUUAGAUCGAGUUUUGGAGGGAGGAAGAAUCUUGUUUCUAGCACUGUGGGGUUAAAGCUAACGCAUUAAACACUCCGCCUGAGGAGUACGGUCGCAAGGCUGAAACUCAAAGGAAUUGCCGGAGGCUCGAACAAGCGGUGGAUCAUGUGGUUUAAUUCGAAACAACGCGCAAAACCUUACCAGUUCUUGUAUACAAAUAUUGAAUCUUUCUUUAUCGAAACGAAUUCUAGGUUUGAACAGGUGCUGCAUGGCUGUCGUCAGCUCGUG
rnacentral:rRNA from 18 species